rnacentral:rRNA from 1 species
CGGACGGGUGAGUAACGCGUGAGAAUCUAGCUUCAGGUCGGGGACAACCACGGGAAACUGUGGCUAAUACCGGAUAUGCCGAGAGGUGAAAGGCUUGCUGCCUGAAGAUGAGCUCGCGUCUGAUUAGCUAGUAGGUGUGGUAAAAGCGCACCUAGGCGACGAUCAGUAGCUGGUCUGAGAGGAUGAUCAGCCACACUGGGACUGAGACACGGCCCAGACUCCUACGGGAGGCAGCAGUGGGGAAUUUUCCGCAAUGGGCGAAAGCCUGACGGAGCAAUACCGCGUGAGGGAGGAAGGCUCUUGGGUUGUAAACCUCUUUUCUCAGGGAAGAAAAAAAUGACGGUACCUGAGGAAUAAGCAUCGGCUAACUCCGUGCCAGCAGCCGCGGUAAUACGGAGGAUGCAAGCGUUAUCCGGAAUGAUUGGGCGUAAAGGGUCCGCAGGUGGCUAUGUAAGUCUGCUGUUAAAGAACCUAGCUUANCUAGGUAAAAGCAGUGGAAACUACAAGGCUAGAGUGCGUUCGGGGUAGAGGGAAUUCCUGGUGUAGCGGUGAAAUGCGUAGAUAUCAGGAAGAACACCAGUGGCGAAGGCGCUCUACUAGGCCGCAACUGACACUGAGGGACGGAAGCUAAGGGAGCGAAUGGGAUUAGAUACCCCAGUAGUC